CUGAGGCUGCUAGGGCAGGAGAGGAAAGAGUCCCAGACUCAGCUCAGGAAGUAAAUGACAGAUUUUGCAUUUCUGCUUUGCCAGGCCCUGCUGGCCCCGA
rnacentral:pre_miRNA from 1 species